CAGCAGUAGCCGCGGUAAUACGAAGGGUGCAAGCGUUAAUCGGAAUUACUGGGCGUAAAGCGUGCGUAGGCGGUUUGUUAAGUCUGCUGUGAAAUCCCCGGGCUCAACCUGGGAAUGGCAGUGGACACUGGCUCGCUAGAGUGUGUCAGAGGAUGGUGGAAUUCCCGGUGUAGCGGUGAAAUGCGUAGAGAUCGGGAGGAACAUCAGUGGCGAAGGCGGCCAUCUGGGACAACACUGACGCUGAGGCACGAAAGCGUGGGGAGCAAACAGGAUUAGAUACCCCCGUAGUCCCUGUCUCUUAUAC
rnacentral:rRNA from 1 species